rnacentral:rRNA from 1 species
CGUAGGUGGCAAGCGUUGUCCGGAUUUAUUGGGUUUAAAGGGUGCGUAGGCGGCCUAUUAAGUCAGUGGUGAAAUAUUUCAGCUCAACUGGAAUUGUGCCAUUGAUACUGAUGGGCUUGAGUACAGAUGAGGUAGGCGGAAUUGACGGUGUAGCGGUGAAAUGCUUAGAUAUCGUCAAGAACACCUAUAGCGAAGGCAGCUUACUAGGCUGUAACUGACGCUGAGGCACGAAAGUGUGGGAUCAAACAGGAUU